AUUCCGACGUAGUUCGGAGAGAAAAAUUGCCCAAUAAUUCUCGUCUCGUAUCUUUCGUUCUUCGGAUCGGAAAUCGUUGGAGAUGAUCGAUAAAGGAUUGGAUAACAGCUUCGCGGGACGAAGAAGACUACGAAUUUCUAACUGACGCAAAAUCCCAUGCCAAAACGUUCGAGACGCGAGCUCAUAUCCAUCCAUCCAUCCCCAUAAACGGUUCGCAUCCGUCUUCGUUCGGUAACUGUGCUGUACUCAUCGUCGAGGGCAUCCCGUCCCCCCCCCCCCCCCCCCCUGACGGUCGACUAUAUCGAGCGAUAUGGAGGUGCACAAAAUCCACGGGUAUUUGUGUUACAACGCCGAAAAUCACAACUGACGAAUCGGUGAGGGCACACCCGUCGCGCGCGGACCUCCAAAGUAUCAUUACAUCAAGGAUAACAGGUCGACGACGUUCCUGUGGGCGCGACACUUGGGAGUUUAACGAACGAACGGAGGGACGCGUCGGAACCAGAUGACCAUUGCGUGACGGAACCGAAUCAGGACAUCAACGAGUCUCUCCAAAGAUCGACGCCUCUCCAUCCUGAUGAUGAUCAGAUGAUGGAUCUGCAACACAUGAGACGUACAACACCUUCCUUUUGCGGAG
rnacentral:misc_RNA from 1 species